AUUGAACGCUGGCGGCAGGCCUAACACAUGCAAGUCGAGCGGAUGAGAAAAGCUUGCUUUUUGAUUCAGCGGCGGACGGGUGAGUAAUGCCUAGGAAUCUGCCUGUUAGUGGGGGAUAACUCGGGGAAACUCGGGCUACUACCGCAUACGUCCUACGGGAGAAAGUGGGGGAUCUUCGGACCUCACGCUAACAGAUGAGCCUAGGUCGGAUUAGCUAGUAGGUGAGGUAAUGGCUCACCUAGGCGACGAUCCGUAACUGGUCUGAGAGGAUGAUCAGUCACACUGGAACUGAGACACGGUCCAGACUCCUACGGGAGGCAGCAGUGGGGAAUAUUGGACAAUGGGCGAAAGCCUGAUCCAGCCAUGCCGCGUGUGUGAAGAAGGUCUUCGGAUUGUAAAGCACUUUAAGUUGGGAGGAAGGGUAUUCACCUAAUACGUGGGUACUUUGACGUUACCAACAGAAUAAGCACCGGCUAACUCUGUGCCAGCCGCCGCCGUAAGAC
rnacentral:rRNA from 1 species